rnacentral:tRNA from 2 species
GGCAGGUGUAGCCGGUUUGGCAGCGGCUGGCUUGCUGGCGGCAGGCUUGGCAGCCGGUUUCGCUGCGGUACGUGCUG